rnacentral:rRNA from 1 species
CCUACGGGAGACUGCAGUGAGGAAUAUUGGUCAAUGGGCGCGAGCCUGAACCAGUCAAGUAGCGUGAGGGAUGACUGCCCUACGGGUUGUAAACUUCUUUUAUAAAGGAAUAAACUUAGGCACGUGAACCUUUUUGUAUGUACUUUAUGGAUAAGGAUUGGCUAACUCCGUUCCAACAGCCGGCGUCAUACGGAGGAUCCGAGCGUUAUCCGGAUUUCUUUGGGUUAAAGGGCGCGUGGGUGGGGCGUUAAGUCAGUUGUGAAAGUUUGCGGCUCAACCGUAACAUUGCAAUUGGAACUGGCAGCCUUGAGUACAGUUGAGGCAGGCGGAAUUCGCGGUGUAGCGGUGAAAUGCUUAGAUAUCACGAAGAACCCCGAUUGCGAAGGCAGCCUACUAUGCUGCCACUGACAUUGAUGCUCGAAAGUGUGGGUAUCAAACAGGAUUAGAUACCCGAGUAGUC